CAACUUCCAACAACGGAUCUCUUGGCUCUCGCAUCGAUGAAGAACGCAGCGAAAUGCGAUACGUAAUGUGAAUUGCAGAAUUCAGUGAAUCAUCGAAUCUUUGAACGCACCUUGCGCCCCUUGGCAUUCCGAGGGGCACACCCGUUCGAGUGUCGUGA
rnacentral:rRNA from 1 species